AUGGAAGAACAUAAACAAUAUUUUCCAAUCCUUUUCUUCAUUUAUCUUCUCUUCUGUUCUUCUCAAUUUGCUAUAUCCCAACGUUUAGUGAAUUUCAUUUCCGGUGUUCCCACUUUGUGGGUCAACAGGCCAUCCACUGGGAGUAAUUUCAGUGGAGACAUCCUUAAUUAUACACCCAUCCUUCUGGAAGGAAAUGCCCGCCUACGAUUCCUCUAUGGCUUCUCUUGCAAUUUCGAUUACACAGAAUGCUUUCUUGGUAUCUCAUUAGUAUUAUACUACAGCACUGGUGAGACCAUUUAUAUAAGAGGGGGACAGUUAGUUUGGUCUGCUAAUCGAGACCAUCCAGUGCAAGUCAAUGCAACCUUGCAACUAGGCAGAGAUGGCAACUUGGUGUUGGCAGACUCUGAUGGCACUCUUGUUUGGUCCACUAAUACUACUGGAAAAUCUGUUUCAGGCUUAAACUUGACAGAAACAGGGAAUCUCGUGCUCUUUGAUAUGACCAACCACACAGUUUGGCAGUCUUUUGAUCAUCCUACAGAUUGUUUGCUCCCGGGGCAGAAUUUGGUUUCUGGUCAGAAGCUCACUGCAAGCGUUUCAGCAGACAAUUCGAGUCAAGGUUUAUUAUCUCUUACUGUUCUCAAUGGAAGCUGGGCCACAUACAUAGAUUCUGAUCCACCUCAGUAUUACUACACUUCAGAUAAUCCUGAUAGUCGUUAUUGGAGUUUUGAUGGUCAUACCCUUACCGCUUUACAAUACCCUCCUACAUCGACAGCUCAAUUCAUAAAGCUUGGGCAUGAUGGACAUUUACGAGUAUACUAAUUGGGCGACCUUAAUUGGGAAGAGGUAGAUGACAUUUUGCCAGUCAACGACUGUGGGUACCCAAUGGUGUGUGGAGUAUACAGCAUUUGUGCAAAUGGAGGACAAUGUACUUGUUCAGUUGAAGUCAACUUCUUCAGGCCAUUUUCUGAGAGGAAGACAAAUCUCGGAUGCACUGAGCUGAUGCCCAUUUCUUGUGACUCUUCGCAGUAUCAUAGUCUUGUAGAGCUAAAGAAUACCACAUAUUUUUCAUUUGAGUUCAGUCAUGAACUAAACUCAAGCGUAUUUUGGAUUGAGGGGAAAAAGAUUGAAGAUUGCCAAAGGGCAUGUCUGAGUAACUGUUCUUGCAAAGCUGCUGUUUGUGAUCCAUAUCCGGAUGUGAGUCUAGGAGGGAGCUGUUUGUUACUGAAUGAAGUCUUCUCUCUCAUGGACGGUGGAGAAGGAACAACAAAAGUUUUUCUUAAGGUGCAGAAUUUCGCAAAGGCUCAGUACCAGCCGCCAAUCGUUUCUCCAAGAAAGCAAUCAAGACCUCUGAAAGUGAUUGUAGCAUCUGCUCUUGCAGCUUUAGUGGGAAUAAUUUUAAGUAUUAGUGCAUGGUUUGCUCUUUUCAAAAAGAGGACACUGUCUGUCAAGGCUGGGGAUCUUCUGGAUUUAGCACCAAUCUUACCGGGAAUCCUAACUCGAUUCUCUUACAAUGAGUUGAAAAUAAUUACACAAGAUUUCAGCAGAAAGCUCGGGGAAGGAGGAUUUGGCUCAGUAUAUGAAGGAACACUGAGUAAUGGCAACAAUAUAGCUGUGAAGCGUCUGAAUGGUUUAGGUCAAGUAAAGGAUUCAUUCUUAACAGAAGUAAAGAUAGUUGGUAGCAUUCACCAUGUCAAUUUGGUAAAACUAAUUGGCUUUUGUGCUGAAAAAGAUCACCGGGUUCUGAUCUAUGAGUACAUGGUAAAUGGAUCAUUGGAUUGGUGGAUUUCUCAUGAAAAACAAGAAAAUGGGCUUACAUGGCUUACGAGGCAAAGGAUAAUAUCAGAUAUUGCUAAAGGAUUAGCUUAUCUUCAUGAUGAAUGCAAUCAGAAGAUAAUUCAUUUGGACAUCAAACCACACAACAUCCUCUUAGAUCAAAAUUUCAAUGCUAAGAUAUCUGAUUUUGGGUUGUCGAAACUAAUUGAGAAAGACAAAAACAAAGUUGUUACUAGAAUGAGAGGAACACCAAGGUAUUUAGCUCCUGAAUGGUUGAGGUCGGUGAUCACUGAGAAAGUAGACGUAUAUGCCUUUGGAAUUGUGCUCUUGGAAGUUCUUUGUGGGCGAAAGAAUUUGGAUUGGUCACAGGCUGAUGAAGAUAAUGUCCAUUUGCUUAGUGUCUUUAAGAGAAAAGCAGAACAAGAGCAGCUCAUGGAUAUGGUUGACAAAAACAACGAGGAUAUGCAGCUCCACAGGGAAGCAGUGACGGAAAUGAUGAGCCUCGCAGCAUGGUGUGUACAAGGCGAUUUCAACAAGAGGCCUUCCAUGUCAUUGGUGGUUAAGGUACUGGAAGGUUUGGUGUCUGUUGAAACCAACUUGGAUUUCAAUUUCACAAACCUAACUGAGGUUGGGGCUGGCAACCAGCAGAUGGAAGUCCCUAUCAGUUCAAUACUGCCUUCACUUUUAUCUGGACCAAGGUAAAUAA